GACGAACGCUGGCGGCGCGCUUAACACAUGCAAGUCGAGCGAAGCGGCGGACGGGUGAGUAACACGUGAGUAACCUGCCUUAGACAUUGGGAUAGCCUCGGGAAACCGGGAUUAAUACCAAAUGGUCUAAGAUGGACUCGCGUCCCAUUAGCGCGGUGGUGAGGUAACGGCCCACCAAGGCGACGCUGGGUAGCCGGCCUGCGAGGGUGAACGGCAACAUUGGAACUGAGAAACGGUCCAAACUCUACGGGAGGCAGCAGUGGGGAAUAUUGCACAAUGGGGGGAACUCUGAGGCAGCGACGCCGCGUGAACGAAGAAGGCUUUAGAGUCGUAAAGUGCUUUUAUAUGGGAAGCGGUACCAUAAGAAAAAGCCCCGGCUAACUACGUGCCAGCAGCCGCGGUAUUC
rnacentral:rRNA from 1 species